AUCGUGCAGGUGAUUCUCGGUGAGAACGGAAGAGAGUGAAUGGAGAGAAAAACUCGAUGAAAGCGGAAGGCAAGGAGGCGAGCAAAGGGAGAGAGAAGCUCGAUGAAGGCGAAAGGCGCGGAGGCGAGUGAACGGAGAAAGAAGCUCUUCGCGGGACUAGGUGUGCGAUGUGUGUGUGUAUUCACCUGCAAACAACCAAAAAUGAAAUGCAAGAAAACAAAGCAAACUGGAAGCUUUCG
rnacentral:lncRNA from 1 species